rnacentral:lncRNA from 1 species
UGAAACACCAAUGCAUUUAAUCAAUAAUACAAAAUAAAUAAACAGACAAGCACCAUAAUAACGAAUUACACAAUUCCCGACCAAUAUUGAGGCGGCAGGUAGCCUCGACAACGGGGACCCUGGCUGUGACCCUCCUCGCUGCGAGUGUCUCAGGGGGAGUUCGUAUAUGCAAAACAACAACGAAAAAACAUUUAUAUUAUAGACUGUGUGUAACAGGACAAAUAUAAACAUUACAUGCAUUAUUAUGUCUUAUAAACUCUGCAAACAUUUAACAGUUUAUAAACGUGUUAUAAAUACAGCAACAAUUUGAGAACACGUGUGGCUUAGUUGGUAGCGUAUGGCACUUACAACGCCAGAGAUGUGGGUUCGAUUCCCACGGGGGACCAGUACAAAGAUAUAUGGACUUACUAGUGUAAAUCGCACCGGAUAAGAGCGUCUGCUAAAUGACUGAAAUGUAUAUGUUUAUGUUGAGUAAGUAAAGUGAUUUCUACUUGGACUACUAGGCGCAUGCGUUGUGAAGAAGCAGCCAGGAAGGGGUACUCCAGUUAGGCAUUCUAGGUCCAACAUCAGUACUGCGUACGAGGGAAGCUAGCGCCCGACUUCAAAUACAUGAUCCUUGGCUAAUCCUCCAGCCUCUUGGGAACGAAGAUAAUAACCUGUACCGGAAUUAGCUAGACACAGACACGAAAACAACGUUGUGGAGAUUUACAUAAGAACAGAUUCGCUGCUGUCGCUUUUCCGAUACAGGUUCCGUCCUCUCGGGUUCGUUGAGGAUGAGGUUCCCGACCAUCAGACGGUGUCCUGGGGAAGGAGAUGGGAAUAAGGAACUCGCUCCACCAUUUAGGAACCCCUUUGUGCAUGACUUGAGAUUCACCCCGCUCGAAAAGGCAAAGGUAAGUGAAAAUAUUACACCUGGUGCAACACGUCCACCUGUUUAGUUUUUACAUCGAUAAGAGGCAGGCAAGAUUUAUAUAACGGGUUGCUAGCCAGACAGCUAACUACCGAUCAAGGUAUGUAGCUAGCCUGACUGACUAGCAACUAGCUAGAAGGCUGGCUACAUGUUGCUCACUUGACUCUCAUACUCUAGCUACCAAGUCUGGACAACAAGCUGGACAAAUAACCAGCGCAUUACCUUGCACACACACCACGACACACAGGGCAGCUAGAAGACAACACUUCACAUGUCUUGGCGUGGUUAGGCAACUUAGCCGAUAAAACCAGCCAACAAUGUUAAGAAAUGAUCAUAUAUUACAAUUAUAAUACAAGAUGAUACGUCUUUUGCAAAAGAGUCAGAAGAUGCCCGAGCAUCAUCACUUGAGUUAGCUGUGUAUUCCUGCUCAAUCAGCAUCUGGUCUGGUGUGGCUUGUCCAUGUCAAGCAUUAUGUUCUGUUGAACGCCGGAGGAAAUCAAAUAGUUAUCUAACAAUGUAUAUUAGUAUGAAAUGGACCAGAGAAUACAUGUAUCCCUCUUGAUCCAAGCGAGCAGAGUUCAACAACCAGUUCAAUACAGUGAAUGUCAGUAGGCCAGCAGCUCUUCCAGCAGCUCUUCCAGCAGCUCUUCUAUUAAAAGAUGGGGCUUGACAGACACAGCAUAGACGGUGCUGGAUGAAGAUAAGGCAUAACACUGCUUGUCCAAUAGAAAUCCCCGGUCACUAUUGUAAGCGAUGUCAUGGCGACGUCGGUUAGCUAUGCGCAUGCGUAGAAACAGGUUAUACGGUUAGCUAUGCGCAUGCGUAGAAACAAGUUAUCGGGUUUACCGGUCGUCUCGCAGCGAACUGCGCAUGUGCAGCACGUCAAAAUCAAACACAUUCCUUCAACAUAAAGUUGUUGUUGACCGAAAAUGAAAAACGUGUCAGUUAGUCACUUUCACGAGAUUAGAGUAAUAAUAUGU